rnacentral:rRNA from 1 species
GAUGAACGCUGGCGGCGUGCCUAAUACAUGCAAGUCGAGCGAACGGACGAGAAGCUUGCUUCUCUGGUGUUAGCGGCGGACGGGUGAGUAACACGUGGAUAACCUACCUAUAAGACUGGGAUAAUUUCGGGAAACCGGAGCUAAUACCGGAUAAUAUUUUGAACCGCAUGGUUCAAAAGUGAAAGACGGUCUUGCUGUCACUUAUAGAUGGAUCCGCGCUGCAUUAGCUAGUUGGUAAGGUAACGGCUUACCAAGGCAACGAUGCAUAGCCGACCUGAGAGGGUGAUCGGCCACACUGGAACUGAGACACGGUCCAGACUCCUACGGGAGGCAGCAGUAGGGAAUCUUCCGCAAUGGGCGAAAGCCUGACGGAGCAACGCCGCGUGAGUGAUGAAGGUCUUCGGAUCGUAAAACUCUGUUAUUAGGGAAGAACAUAUGUGUAAGUAACUGUGCACAUCUUGACGGUACCUAAUCAGAAAGCCACGGCUAACUACGUG